rnacentral:rRNA from 1 species
UACGGAGGGUGCAACGUUGCUCGGAAUCAUUGGGCGUAAAGCGCACGCAGGCGGCCGAGUAAGUCUGACGGUGAAACUCUCCCGGCUUAACCGGGAGCGGUCGUUGGAAACUACUUGGCUUGAGGCGAUGAGAGGGGUGUGGAAUUCCCGGUGUAGUGGUGGAAUGCGUAGAGAUCCGGAGACACCAGCGGCGAAGGCGGCAUCCUGGACUGGUCCGUGACACUCAGGAGCGAAAGCG